rnacentral:rRNA from 1 species
AUUGAACGCUGGCGGCAGGCCUAACACAUGCAAGUCGAACGAGUGGCGGACGGGUGAGUAAUGUCUGGGAAACUGCCUGAUGGAGGGGGAUAACUACUGGAAACGGUAGCUAAUCCCGCAUACCAUCGGAUGUGCCCAUAUGGGAUUAGCUUGUGGGUGGGGUAACGGCUCACCUAGGCGACGAUGCCUAGCUGGUCUGAGAGGAUGACCAGCCACACUGGAACUGAGACACGGUCCAGACUCCUACGGGAGGCAGCAGUGGGGAAUAUGGCACAAUGGGCGCAAGCCGGGUGCAGCCAUGCCGCGGGUAUGAAGAAGGCCUUCGGGUUGUAAAGUACUUUCAGCGAGGAGGCGUUACUCGCAGAAGAAGCACCGGCUAACUCCGUGCCAGCAGCCGCGGUAAUAC